rnacentral:lncRNA from 1 species
GGGGGUUCCUCCUGCCGCCGGAGGGCCACUGCGCCCCCGCCUCGUCUCGACCCCGGGGAGGGCUGUGGGAGCGGAGAGGGACAAUGCGAGGGGCGGGGGUGCGCUGCAGCUCCCUCCUUCUCUGAUUUUAUUUUUGUUAUUGUUGGGUUCAUUACUAUUUCCUGCGCCGCCGAGGGGCUUUGCCGAAACCUCCCACCCGUGGGCGUAGUGACGGGCUCGAUGUCCCCCCUUCUGCCUCCCGCCUCGCUCGCCCUGUGACCUUGGGCACGGCGCGAAGCCCGGGCUAUCUCCCGCCGGGUCGGUCAUCGUCACCGCCGGGCACGGGUCGGCUUUGUUCUCCCCGCCGGGCCAGGAGGCACCAUUAGAAAUAAAUACAACGAUUACCCAGCUUUUUUUUUUUCUUAACUGUUGUCAUUGUGCACAGGAAAUAGGACGCUCUAGAUUUCCUGUCAUUUUCAACCACAAACCAGCGGUUCUCUAAUGCAGAUUAGCGAAAUUCACACAGACUAAGCAAACGCCGUCUCCUUCCCCCAAAAAAACAAAACCCUGCAGACAUGUUUCCCUGUGCCCCAUACACGCUGCGAAUUGCUCAUCCGCUGCCUGCAUCCACACCGAAACACAGGGCGGGGGCAAGGGAAGGAGGAAAAGAGGGUGUUCGCUCUUCCCGUUUGCCAUGGAAGGUGAAGGAACCCCUCAUCGGGCGCAUCCCGGCACGUACGGCCGGCUGCACGCGUCUGCCCGCGCAGGGUAAACACGGCGAAGGCUGCUCCCUCCGACAGCCGUGCUCGGGCCGCCCUUCCCACGGCGUUAAUGAGUAG